UAGGAAGGACAUCAAACUCGCUUGGUGACAACACUCUCCAACUGAAUAGUGGCACCUCUCAGCAAGAGAAAAUCAUUGACCCCAUUGAAAAUACUCCGACGAUGUAGCAAGAGCCGAACAUGACCCAAUUAAUACAGAUCCUAGUCAGAGUAGUGCAAAUAUAGCAAUAGUUGCUUCAACAAUAACAAACACAGUAACAUACGCAGCCACAU
rnacentral:lncRNA from 1 species